AUUGAACGCUGGCGGCAGGCCUAACACAUGCAAGUCGAGCGGUAGAGAGGUGCUUGCAUCUCUUGAGAGCGGCGGACGGGUGAGUAAUGCCUAGGAAUCUGCCUAGUGGUGGGGGAUAACGUUCGGAAACGGACGCUAAUACCGCAUACGUCCUACGGGAGAAAGCGGGGGAUCUUCGGACCUCGCGCCAUUAGAUGAGCCUAGGUCGGAUUAGCUAGUUGGUGAGGUAAUGGCUCACCAAGGCGACGAUCCGUAACUGGUCUGAGAGGAUGAUCAGUCACACUGGAACUGAGACACGGUCCAGACUCCUACGGGAGGCAGCAGUGGGAAUAUUGGACAAUGGGCGAAAGACCUGAUCCAGCCAUG
rnacentral:rRNA from 1 species